GUGCCAGCCGCCGCGGUAACACCGGCGGCCCGAGUGGUGAUCGUGAUUAUUGGGUCUAAAGGGUCCGUAGCCGGUUUGGUCAGUCCUCCGGGAAAUCUGGCAGCUCAACUGUUAGGCUUUCGGGGGAUACUGCCAGACUUGGAACCGGGAGAGGUAAGAGGUACUACAGGGGUAGGAGU
rnacentral:rRNA from 1 species